GGGAGGAGAAAGGGAAUUCCCUUGGGUAGCGGGGGAAAUGCGUGGAGAUUAGGAAGGACCACCCGUGGGCGAAGGCGCUUUUUUGGACUGUAACGGACGCUGGGGCUCGAAAGCGUGGGGAGCAAACAGGAUUAGAUACCCCGGUAGUCCACGCCGUAAACGAUGAAUACUAGGUGUAGGGGUUGUCAUGACCUCUGUGCCGCCGCUAACGCAUUAAGUAUUCCGCCUGGGGAGUACGGUCGCAAGAUUAAAACUCAAAGGAAUUGACGGGGGCCCGCACAAGCAGCGGAGCAUGUGGUUUAAUUCGAAGCAACGCGAAGAACCUUACCUAGACUUGACAUCUCCUGCAUUACUCUUAAUCGAGGAAGUCCCUUCGGGGACAGGAUGACAGGUGGUGCAUGGUUGUCGUCAGCUCGUGUCGUGAGAUGUUGGGUUAAGUCCCGCAACGAGCGCAACCCUUAUUGUUAGUUGCCAUCAUUAAGUUGGGCACUCUAGCGAGACUGCCCGGGUUAACCGGGAGGAAGGUGGGGAUGACGUCAAAUCAUCAUGCCCCUUAUGUCUAGGGCUACACACGUGCUACAAUGGUCGGUACAAUAAGACGCAAGCCCGCGAGGGGGAGCAAAACUGGAAAACCGAUCUCAGUUCGGAUUGUAGGCUGAAACUCGCCUACAUGAAGCUGGAGUUGCUAGUAAUCGCGAAUCAGCAUGUCGCGGUGAAUACGUUCCCGGGCCUUGUACACACCGCCCGUCA
rnacentral:rRNA from 1 species